GCCGGGCGUGGUGGCUCUGUAGUCCCAGCUACUUGGGAGGCUGAGGUGGGAAGAUCGCUUGAGCCCAGGAGUUCUGGGCUGCAGUGCGCUAUGCCAGUCGGGUGUCCGCACCAAGUUUGGCAUUAAUAUGGUGACCUUCGGGGAGCGGGAGACCACCAGGUUGCCUAAGGAGGGGUGAACCGGCCCAGGUCGGAAAUGGAGCAGGUCAAAACUCCCGUGCUGAUCAGUAGUGGGAUUGCGCCGGUGAAUAGCCACUGCACUCCAGCCUGGUCAACCUAGCGAGACCCUGUCUCUU
ensembl:misc_RNA Metazoa_SRP Metazoan signal recognition particle RNA